UACAGAGGUCUCAAGCGUUGUUCGGAUUCAUUGGGCGUAAAGGGUGCGUAGGUGGCGCCGUAAGUCAGGUGUGAAAUUUCGGAGCUUAACUCCGAAACUGCAUUUGAUACUGCGGGGCUUGAGGACUGGAGAGGAGACUGGAAUUCACGGUGUAGCAGUGAAAUGCGUAGAUAUCGUGAGGAAGACCAGUGGCGAAGGCGGGUCUCUGGACAGUUCCUGACACUGAGGCACGAAGGCCGGGGGAGCAAACGGG
rnacentral:rRNA from 1 species